rnacentral:rRNA from 1 species
UGAGCAAUCUGCCCUUCUCAUCGGAAUAAGCGUUGGAAACGACGUCUAAUGCCGAAUACGACCUCCUUUCGCAUGAUCGGAGGUGGAAAGCUCCGGCGGAGAAGGAUGAGCUCGCGGCCUAUCAGCUUGAUGGUGGGUAAUGGCCUACCAUGGCUUCGACGGGUAGCCGGCCUGAGGAGGGUCGACCCGGCCACACGUGGGACUGAGACACCGGCCCAGACCUCCGUAGGACGGACG